rnacentral:rRNA from 1 species
GACGAACCGUGCAAACGUUAUUCGGAAUCACUGGGCUUAAAGGGCGCGUAGGCGGGCUCGCCAGUCAGGGGUGAAAUCCUCCAGCUCAACUGGAGAAGUGCCUUUGAUACUGCGAGCCUUGAGGGAGGUAGGGGCGUGCGGAACUUCCGGUGGAGCGGUGAAAUGCGUAGAUAUCGGAAGGAACACCGGUGGCGAAAGCGGCGCGCUGGACCUCUUCUGACGCUGAGGCGCGAAAGCCAGGGGAGCAAACGGG